rnacentral:lncRNA from 1 species
UCGCGACGAGAGCAGGCUGAGAGAGCUAGCGAGAUAAACUCUAUUCAUCGCUGGCAACUGUAUUCGUCGUGAGAUUCGCUAGAAUUGCGAAGUUAGCUCUUUCAAAGCGUUUCUCUUAAAUGAAAGUUUGAAAGGUUUCUUGCCUGGCUGAGAGCUUGCAGUUUUUCCUCUGGACUCCUUUCAAAAUGUAAGUCUCCGAUCGUGUCAAGAGAAAGAAAGAAUCUAUAAAUCACAAAAUAACCUUACCUAAUGCUUGCAGAGAGGUUUGUGAUGGAAUGAAUGGACGCUGUCUGGAGGUCCAGCUCUUGUCCGCGGCUCACCAGCGAUGUAGCAGUAGUGGGUUCUAGUCCAAGUUUGCGCUGCAGCAGCGACACCACCAAAUGCUACGCCGAGGCGUUGCGAAGAUGCGGGAGCAGCCAGAACCUCUGGGAAGGCAAGAGGCUCCACUUCCUCCUCAAGUCCCGCGGCUACGACGGCGAUACGUUUCUCGGGAAUUUGCUCGUCCAGAUGUAUGGUAAAUGCGGCGAGCUGGAUCAAGCGCGAAGUGCCUUCGACCGGAUAGUCACCAGGAACGUCUUCUCUUAGACAAUCCUCUACUUCUAGAACGGGCUCUUAGCGCUUCGUAGUUUUAGGGUUUGUACUUUCCGUUUUAUUACCAAUU